rfam:Oryza barthii chromosome 3, whole genome shotgun sequence.
AAUAAAUGUAGUUGUACUUCUCAUGUACAAUCUUUGAUCAUUUGUUUUAUUUAAAAUUUUUUUAUGAUUAGUACUUUUAUUGUUAUUAGAUAAUAAAACAUGAAUACUUCUGUAUAUGUGACUAAUGUUUUUUAAAUAAAAUAAACGGUCAAACAUUGAACACGGAUACUCACGACACGGAAG